CUGAGGCCAAUCAAAGGCUGGCUGGAACUAGUUAAAAGCCUCCCAAUUAGUCAGAGAGGUGUGCAUGUGUGCCAGGAGUUGUAGGAGGAAGCUGUACUGCUGGAGAAACUGGGUAGUACAAACCCUAUCAGGUACAAGGAAGGAGGCCCUGAGUUUCCUGGGUAACAGCAGACUUCCUAUUCCAGUCAUCUGAUGAAUUAGUUCUCAAAAAUGGGAGAGGCUCACGGAGCUUUUUUUUUUUUCUCAAUGGCUGAAUAGUAAAUUACAGGAGAUGAGCCAGUUGGGCAUAGAUUAGAGAAGUAGCUGGGAAGUCUCCAGGGUUUGCUUUCCUUCUGAAGAAAGAUUUCAUCCAUAUAAUUUAAAAAAUGUUAUGACAACCAUGGCCAAGAGUUCACUUGACCCUCUGCCACACAUACCCUGUAGUCCAUUUUGAUCUGUUUCAAGCUUUGCAAAAAUCUGUCAUCUCAGACCUAUUGGCCUCAUUAGUAGUUCCUUCAAAUUAUCUUCACUAUAUGUGAAGUGGAUUGGCUCUUGUAACAGAAUGGCCUGCCCCUUUUAGGGUCAGGGUUCUUAGGCCAGCAGACCUGAUCAAUUUUCAGACCCAGCUGGAAAGGGAGCAAAGAAUUAUAAAAGACAGCAAGACUGUCUUGUGAUCAGAAUUACUGGGGGAGGGUCUGGCAUGGCCAGGCUGCGCUGCCUCCUCCCCUCUCCUGUAGUAGGAGGAUUGAAAGCUCUGUCCAGUCAGUACUGGGAGAAAAUUUCAGAGCUGUAGCCCAUGGUGAGCAGAGAAACUACUUUUUGUUUGGUUGCUUUGCCUAAGCUAAGAAUAAUUCUCUUCUGUGAAAGAGUGGCAGAGAGUCUUUUCUGGGUUGUGAAAACAGGCCAGCAGGUCACAUGCGAUGGAGAAUGCAGAUAGGCAAUCAGCUCUUGUACUGAGGCAGAGGCUAGCCUGAAGCCAAACCAGGAAGAAAGAACAGGACAGAAUUGACAUUUGAAUUUAACCUCUAUUGCUGCUAGAGGAAAAUGAAUAGACAGCAUGUGUGUCUCGGCUAGAGAGCUGAGUCACUAAAGACCUGCUGAAGACACCCCUGAUGAGGAGAUGCUUUCAAGAGGAUAUGAAGUUCUAGGAGACCACACACGAGAAUGCUCAGGGGAGGACAAGCAGUUGGCUAGUGGUUCCUUCUGGACCUCACCGAGAGGAAGCAUUGAAUACAUUCAACAUCCAUUCUAUGCUAAAUCCUGUGGGCAAGUCAAUGUCUCAGUGGUAUCAAAAGCUGUAAACAGAUCCAAUAAAAAUCAGUACAGACACUUCAUCUCUGACCAUCGCUAAAAAGAGGUUAUCCCCCAUAAAUAUCAAGGCAGUCUCUCUUCCAUAGACAGGAGUGAAACUAGACUGCUAGCA